CUCACUGCUUUACACUCAAUUUGCAAUUCAUUAACACACUUCUAGCAAAACUGUAAACAUUGGUCUCUACAUUGCUGCAAUAUUUUGCCAAUUGCCUUUCCACGUUGACACAAUAGACUAAUUCCUAAUGACCAUGGGCCACAGCAGCACAGAAUUCUUCUCUGCAUGGCAUUGCAAGGUGUAUGAUCGCCAGCUCCACCAACGCAUAAACCUUCUACAGGCAGUGGAGGAGGCUUGUGGAGACAAUCAGGGGUCAUGCCAGGCCUGGAUACGACACUCCACGUGAUACUUUUCCACACUGCCUAGCUCAAGACAACAUCACAUGUGAUUAGGAUGAAGUCUUAUGGCCAGACCCACAAAGAAGUGAAAAGCUGUCACAUUUCAUCCUGGUGCAUGCGACCUUAUCAAAUCAACCCAGAGAAUUCCAAUAGUGGGUUGAAUAAACCUUUUUCCUCUGGAUCUGUAAGCUGGCUUUUCACUUCUCAACAGUAAUGGUGUC